rnacentral:rRNA from 1 species
UUGGAGGGCAAGUCUGGUGCCAGCAGCCGCGGUAAUUCCAGCUCCAAUAGCGUAUAUUAAAGUUGUUGCAGUUAAAAAGCUCGUAGUUGAAUUUCGGGAUCAACAUGUCGGUCGUGCCUCCGGUACGUACUGGCAUCGUUGGUUUCUACCUUCUGACAAACCAUGAUGUCAUUAAUUUGGUGUCAUGGGGAAUCAGGACUGUUACUUUGAAAAAAUUAGAGUGUUUAAAGCAGGCACACGCUUGAAUACAUUAGCAUGGAAUAAUGAAAUAGGACGUUUGACCCUAUUUUGUUGGUUUCUAGGAUCGACGUAAUGAUUAAUAGGGAUAGUUGGGGGCAUUAGUAUUCAAUUGUCAGAGGUGAAAUUCUUGGAUUUAUUGAAGACUAACUACUGCGAAAGCAUUUGCCAAGGAUGUUUUCAUUAAUCAAGAACGAAAGUUAGGGGAUCGAAGACGAUCAGAUACCGUCGUAGUCUUAACCAUAAACUAUGCCGACUAGGGAUCGGAUGAUGUUAAUUUUUUAAUGAUUCAUUCGGCGCCUUACGGGAAAC